rnacentral:rRNA from 1 species
UAGGUGGCAAGCGUUGUCCGGAAUUACUGGGUGUAAAGGGAGCGUAGGCGGGGAUGCAAGUUGAAUGUAUAAACGGCCGGCUCAACUGGUCGAAGCGUUCAAAACUGCAUUUCUUGAGUGGAGUAGAGGCAGGCGGAAUUCCUAGUGUAGCGGUGAAAUGCGUAGAUAUUAGGAGGAACACCAGUGGCGAAGGCGGCCUGCUGGGCUCUAACUGACGCUGAGGCUCGAAAGCGUGGGUAGCAAA